UUGUGAGUGUAGAAGGGGACAGCUCAAAGUGAAAUCUGGCCCUGGCCCGAGUUGUAAUUUGUAGAAGGUGUCUCGGGGGCGACGACGACGCAAGUUUCCUGGAACGGAACGUCGCAGAGGGUGAGAAUCCCGUAUGCUGUCGAACGUCAAUCCCGCGUGAGACCCUUUCGACGAGUCGAGUUGUUUGGGAAUGCAGCUCAAAAUGGGUGGUAAAUUUCAUCUAAAGCUAAAUAUCCGCCCGAAACCGAUAGCACACAAGUAGAGUGAUCGAAAGAUGAAAAGAACUUUGAAAAGAGAGUGAAACAGUACGUGAAAUUGUUGAAAGGGAAGCGCUUGCAAUCAGACUCGUCCGCGCUUGUUCAGCCUCUCCUUCGGGCAAGGUGCAUUCUUGCGCGGACGGGCCAGCAUCGAUUUCGGCGGCCGGACAAAGGUCUUGGGAAUGUAGCUCCUUUCGGGGAGUGUUAUAGCCUGAGGUGUAAUGCGGCCAGUCGGGAUUGAGGACCGCGCUUUUGCUAGGAUGCUGGCGUAAUGGUUGCUAGCGACCCGUCUUGAAACACGGACCAAGGAGUCGACCAACCGCGCGAGUGUUUGGGUGUCAAGCCCACAACGCGCAAUGAAAGUGAACGCAGGUGGGAAGCUUCGGCUGCACCAUCGACCGAUCUUGAUGUCUUCGGAUGGAUUUGAGUACGAGCGCGUUUGGUCGGACCCGAAAGUCAUGUGAUCUAUGCGUGAAUAGGGUGAAGCCAGAGGAAACUCUGGUGGAGGCUCGCAGCGGUUCUGACGUGCAAAUCGAUCGUCAAAUUUGCGCAUAGGGGCGAAAGACUAAUCGAACUGACUAGUAGCUGGUUCCUGUCGAAGUUUCCCUCAGGAUAGCAGCAGCGAGCAACAGUCUCAUGAGGUAGAGCGAACGAUUAGAGGACUGGGGGGCGCAAUGCCCUUCACGUAUUCUCGAACUUCGAAUACGUGAGAAGUCCUUGUUACUUAAUUGAACGUGGACAAACGGAUGUAUCGCUGUUAUUGGCCCAUUUUGUAGAAAAAACUGGGGAG
rnacentral:rRNA from 1 species